UGCGAUUCUGGAAGUGUCUGCCUUACUGGAUUUCUGUUUUGAAAGCACUUGACUCAAGGGCCUAAGUCCUACUGAUUUUCACAGUUACAGAAGCUACUGCAUGAUGUAGUUCUGGUCAAUGUUUGAAAGUACAAUCAAGCAAAGCAAUAUUUCACUGGGGUUCUACAGAUAUCUCUUUUGGACAGAAAAUGCAAACAAAGGACUGUGUUCAGGAUAACUGACUUACUGCUACUGCCUUUGCAGGCAGUGGAAAGACCUCCAUCAAUGUAAAAGGAGUCAGGAUCCUACCGAUUCUGAAAGGUAGUAAUAAUUUUACAUGAAAGGUCCCAAAAGUGCUGGCCCUAAACAUGCUCUCCCUCCUCUAUCUGAUAGUCCCCGUGAGCUGCAUGGCUACAGAGUUUACAGGUUCAGGCAAAAGCUGAGCUGGCAACCACCAGGCUCCAGCUCGUCAGUGUAAUGAGCCAGGGCCCUCUCUGACCUCAGCACAAGUUCCUGCACCCCCUUCCCUCCUCCUGUUCCCCAAAAGCAACUCUGUCCAGGUAGGGAAGAAGAGCAGACUUUAGGUCUUUUUAGGCUGCUGAGUCCAGAUGACCGACAAAUCAUCCAGAACGGAGUGACCUCUAUUGGCUGGAGAACUGUGUCUGGUGCAGGAGCCAUGAAGAAAGCCACGGCCCUCGUCUGUGCUGUGCUGGGGACUGUAGUCAUUCUUUAAAUGAAGAAACAGAGCUGUUUUUAAACCAAUGAUGUGGAAUGUAAGAAUGCUGACAGUUUUAUAGUGACUUUUUUUUUUUUUUAGUUUAAGAGAAUGUGGAUGGUUAGC